AGGUGAACAUGAUCUUUCUCCUGGAAGCACUGGACCCAUCUGUGUUCAUGCUCCUUGUUUUCUGAAGGCACCUUCAUUGUAAGCCAGAGCGAAGACAUGACUCCAGACAAUGUCCUGUAUUCCUGCCUAUACUGAAUUCAUUCAUGGAUGUGGACUUCCUUAAAUAAAGAGGCGGGUGGAACCCACCUGGGGCCUUUGACACAUCAAAUGUCUUCUUACUUAAUAUCCAAGCUGCUUCAGAGUUAGAAGUGAGUCUAAGACCUACAAAUAAACAUAUUUUGGCCAUCGUGCACAUAGGAAAACCAGACUUCAUACUUAUGGUUCAGAGCUGUUUGCUUUGGAAUGCUGCAUUUGCCCUUUGCAAGUUGGGCAAAGUGAAGUUGUUGUCUUUCCCGGUCGCCUUCCUCCUACCUCCCAGACUUCAACCCCAGGCAGUUUUCCGUGAUAUUGAACAGCUGCUCCUUUGCAAUUGCUGAAGGUUUAUGUCGUAGCUCCAUAUUUAUCUUGGACACUCCACUGGGUUGAGCUUAUUAUCUUAUUGCAUUGCCACUGCAGAAUUUAUUGAAGAGAAGGGGGCUGCUGCUGGCUGUGAGCUGUGUGGUCCUACCAUCUUUACCUUCAUGAUCCUCUUAACUGUGAGGAUCAUUGUAACUGUGACCACUGCUAUCUUCACUGAGGUUUCUUUAUGCUCCAGCCUUUUGGUUCCAAGAAGCCAAGAGUUGACUCUGUAGACAAUAGAAAAACAGGGAAUUAUAGAGAAGGAUGAGAGAGAAGAAUGCCCCAUUUGCCUGGUAUCCAUACUGUAGAGGUUCUAAAGCAUCAGUGAGACCCAACCUUUCCUAACUUGUCCCCUUUAGGAUAUGGAGAGGUCCUCAACGACGUCAUUACUAGCAUUCCAAAGGAAGCCCAUGUAACAGCCAGAGAGUGGUGGGUGCAAGAGAGAUGACAUCAGCCCAAGAA